GAUGAACGCUGACAGAAUGCUUAACACAUGCAAGUCAACUGUGGCGGACGGGUGAGUAACGCGUAAAGAACUUGCCUCACAGCUAGGGACAACAUUUGGAAACGAAUGCUAAUAACUGAUACUGUGAGAGUGCUUUGCGUACCAUUAGCUAGUUGGAGAGGUAACGGCUCACCAAGGCGAUGAUGGGUAGCCGGCCUGAGAGGGUGAUCGGCCACAAGGGGACUGAGAGACGGCGCUUACUCCGACGGGUGGCAGCAGUGGGGAAUAUUGGACAACGAACCAAAGUCUGAUCCAGCUAAUCUGUGUGCACGAUGAAGUUUUCGGAAUGUAAAGUGCUUUCUGUUGGGAAGCGGUACCAACAGAAGAAGUGACGGCUAAAUACGUGCCAGCAGCCGCGGUAAUUC
rnacentral:rRNA from 1 species